UCUGCAUACACCGUUCUUCAAUGAUUGGAAAUCUCUUCCUCCUCAUCAGAAUGAAGCGGAUCAGCCUAUCAUUGGUCAUUCGACAAUACAUGAUAGGGAAAUAGAAAUUCGUCGUCUUGCCGGUACUGUUCCAAAUGUGACUGCAACUGGUGACAUUGAAAGCAUGGUGAUGUACGCUGGCCAAAGUGUAGGCCUCAUCAAGGAAAUUUUACCUGCAGGGGAGGCGGUAAAGAGGCUAGUUGAAGAGGCUCAACUUCUGAUAAAGCACAAGUUCAAUGAUAUAUUGUUGUAACUCACAGCUGAGCCAGAUGACUUCCACACUGUAGAAUUAAUAGAGUUCGUCUGCUGUGGUCAACUAAGUUUGUUGAUGGAUGACUUUCUCUUGCCUGUACUUUAGAUUAAAUUAAUGGUGUGUUUACUAAUCAGGAAUUGGAAUUCUCAUCAAGAAUUAAAUUCCAUCUAUGGAGGAUUCCUGUGUUUACUUCA